rnacentral:rRNA from 1 species
GAGACUCUGUGCGCGUGCAUAUCAAUAAGCGGAGGAAAAGAAACUAACAAGGAUUCCCUUAGUAACGGCGAGUGAAGCGGGAAGAGCUCAAAUUUGAGAUCUUCAAGGUUCUACCUUGACGAAUUGUAGUUUAUAGAAGUGUUUUCUGUUAGUAGAGUGGCAAAAGUUCUUUGGAAUAGGACAUCAUAGAGGGUGAGAAUCCCGUAUUUGGUCAUUCCUUCCUAGCUUUGUGAUACACUUUCAACGAGUCGGAUUGUUUGGGAAUGCAGUCCAAAAUGGGUGGUAAAUUUCAUCUAAAGCUAAAUAUUGGCGAGAGACCGAUAGCGAACAAGUACCGUGAGGGAAAGAUGAAAAGAACUUUGAAAAGAGAGUUAAACAGUACGUGAAAUUGUCAAAAGGGAAGCGUUUGACACCAGUGUUGUUUUUCCGAAAAUCAAUUACGAAUGUUUUGUUUUUAGAGAGUUAUGACUUCAUCGGCUUGCUUCUUUCUUUACGAAACUUUCUUAAUGCACUUUUCGGUUAACAAGUCAACAUCAAUUUCUUUGUUGUAAAAGGGUAUGAGGAAGGUGGCUUUCUUUUCGGAGAAAGUGUUUAUAGCCUCGUACCUCUGCAAUCGGAGAGAUUGAGGUCUGCAGCGUAGAUCCUUCGGGGUUAGAUACAUUUGUGCUAAGUUAUAGCUUUUCAUAGACAACUUGUUGACUAUGUUUAGUCUUGUAGCUUACUCGCUUAUGCUAUUUUACCUACGCUUAGGAUGUUGAACUCUAUCACACACAG